rnacentral:lncRNA from 1 species
CUCUCCUAUUUUCAACCAUACAAUCUUCCAUAAAAUAAUAUUAAAUGUAAAUCGAAAACUUUACCUUCUUUUUCAACCACUCAUUUUUUUUAAAAAUACUAUUCCCCCCAUUACCAUUUUCAGGUAAUGGGGGCCAAACAGGGGCUUAAUGUUUGAUACAAGCUGAAAUAAGUUUAACAUUUAAUUUUUUGAUCAUCUUAUAUUUUUAUGGGGUAUUCUAAAAAAUGUCCAAUUUUAUAGGUGUCAAUUAAAAAAUGUCCACUUUUUAAAUUUAAUACUAAACUGUCUAUUAUGCCCUUAAAGAAAAAACAAAGCAAUUAAUUUUUUUUCCAAUUUUUCGUGGAUUUCGAGAAGUAACUUCUAUGAGAAGUUACAUUAAAAUGAUGUUCUCGACAUUUCAAAUGUCGUUCUUGUUAUUUGAACCUCGUUUAUAUUUCAAAAGUACGCAUGUUAAAUCACAACAUUAAGCCCCGUUUGAUUUCCAUUCUUUGGCUAUAAAAAUGAAAAAUAUGACCGUUAUUCAUCAUAUCGAGCCACCAUAUUUGACUUUCUAUCUCUUGUGUGGGUCCCAUAACGACUAAAUUUUUCAUUCUCAUUCUUACAAAAAUGGGUACCAAACGGGGCCAAAUGUUCUCGACAUUUCAAAUGUUGUUCUCGACAUAAUAGAUGUUUAGAAUGACAAUUCUUUCUUAACAUGAUAUUUCUCUACAAUUGAAAUGUAGUUCUUGACAUUUUAAUGUCAAUGAGAAAAAUAACAUUUAUUAUGAUUUGACGAGUGUACUUUUGAAAUAAAUAGGGUAGGUCAGGUGUCAAAUUUUUAUUGGUCAAUAAAAUUUUUAAUUGUAAAAAUGUCCAUUUUUAUUUUUGUUUGGAAUCAUGUAUUUUGGUCUAAAUUAUUCCAAAAUGGACAUUUUUUCAAGACUUUGCAAUGGUGGACAUUUUUGCAAAUGGAUAUGUGAAAGUGGACAUUUCUAGUAAUUUCCUCUAUUUUAUUAAAUAUAAAAGUUUUCUAAAAUUCUUUCCUAAAGUGCAAGUUGUUAAUAUUUUUAUGUUAAAUAAAAAAUUUAUAAUCAGUUUUCCACAUUUAUGGUUUUAAGAGGAAAUUAAAUGAUACUAUUUCUAAAUCUAGGUAUCUAGAUUUGGGGGUGGUUCAGUUCACAACUUGAAGGAGAUUAUAUCAAAGGUGACAGAACGAAUCAUAUUUUUCUAAAAUUCUUUCAUACACACGAGUUUUAAAAGAAUGAUGACAUCAAUGUCCAACAAAUUUGCUCAAAUGACAAUGUGACUGAUUUAUUCACAAAAGUAUUGCCUAUAUCUAUAUUCAAAAAAUUGGCUCAUGAGAUUGGAAUGUGUCGACUAAAAGAUUUUCAGCGAUCAAUAUCAAGGGGAGUAGCUGCACUCUUUUUUCCUUCGCUUAUGUUUUAUCCCACUAGAUUUUCCUAACAAGGUUUUAGUGAGCCAACAUUUGUUUUUAAUAUUCCAAAAUAACUGUAUUCUUCUUCCUUUGCUUUGUUCAUUGAAUUUUUAUUAAACAAGAUUUUAACGAGAUAUAUAUUUUAUAAUGUGUCAUUCAGGGGGGAGUGUUGUAAAUUGUAAGUUUAUUAGUGAAUGACAAUUAUAUCCCUGCAAUCCUAGAAAUUAUUACCGUUAUAUCUCUAAUUCUUCCCUAUAAGUAUAAGAUUUUGGUUCUUAAUAAAUCAC